CCUACGGGUGGCAGCAGUAGGGAAUCUUUCACAAUGGGCGAAAGCCUGAUGGAGCAACGCCGCGUGCAGGAUGAAGGCCUUCGGGUUGUAAACUGCUUUUAUAAGCGAGAAAUAUGAUGGUAACUUAUGAAUAAGGAUCGGCUAACUACGUGCCAGCAGCCGCGGUCAUACGUAGGAUCCGAGCAUUAUCCGGAGUGACUGGGUGUAAAGAGUUGCGUGGGUGGCAUAAUAAGUAGCUAGUGAAAUCUGGUGGCUCAACCAUUCAGACUAUUAGCUAAACUGUUAAGCUCGAGACCGGUAGGGGUAACUGGAAUUUCUAGUGUAGGAGUGAAAUGCGUAGAUAUUAGAAGGAACACCAAUAGCGUAGGCAGGUUACUGGGACGGUUCUGACACUAAGGCACGAAAGCGUAGGGAGCAAACGGGAUUAGAUACCCGAGUAGUC
rnacentral:rRNA from 1 species